UGGCAAAGUAUAUCCCUGUAGUUCAGCCAUGAUUUCUGUGUUUCUGCUACUCCUGCUUAUCAGCAUAUCCAGCGUUCAGUGUGAAGAACUGACUCAGCCAAGUGCUUUAAGCAUCCGUCCUGGCCAAUCACUGACCAUCACCUGCAGAGUCUCGUACUCAGUGUCCAGCUACGGCACAGGAUGGAUCCGGCAGCCUGCAGGAAAAGGUCUGGAGUGGGUCUCCUAUGUGAGCACUGGUGGAAGCCUCUACUAUAAAGAUUCUCUAAAGAGCAAAUUUACUGCUUCCAGAGAAACAUCCAGCAACACAAUAACAUUAACAGGGCAGAAUCUGCAGACUGAGGACACAGCUGUGUAUUACUGUGCUCGACAACCACAGCUGUUCAUGUUAACCAGAGCAACGUACAAAAACCUCCUCAGUCAGGAGAGGAAUACGCAGUUAUGUUGUAGAUGA